AAGUCGUAACAAGGUAACCGUAGGUGAACCUGCGGUUGGAUCAUUAAAGUAAAACAACAAAACAAAACAACCUCCCAAGCAUUUGUUCUCCUGGGGGGCAACCCCGAGAAGGCAAACGCCUGCCCCGUUUGCUUUCGAGGGGGGGGUCACCUCAGGAAGCAUUUGCAAGGGAGGCCAUCCAAAAGGGAUGGACACCUUUGUGAACUGUAUCUGUCUCUGGCAGUAAGUGGGCCUUUCAAGCUAUGCUUGGCAGGUUCCUUGCUCAUCAUCAUUUCUUUUGAGGUGGUUGAUGGACAAUGCUGCCAAACCCUUCUAUUCUACACCUUUUUUACAUCUGACAUGGUUUUAUUCAAAUAAAAUCACAUCUUAAUAUCUAUAACUUUUGGCAACGGAUCUCUUGGCUCUC
rnacentral:misc_RNA from 1 species